rnacentral:rRNA from 1 species
UACGGGGGGGGGCAAGCGUUGUUCGGAAUUACUGGGCGUAAAGGGCUCGUAGGCGGCCAACUCAGUCGGACGUGAAAUCCCUCGGCUUAACCGGGGAACUGCGUCCGAUACUGGAUGGCUUGAGUGUGGGAGAGGGAUGCGGAAUUCCAGGUGUAGCGGUGAAAUGCGUAGAUAUCUGGAGGAACACCGGUGGCGAAGGCGGCAUCCUGGACUACUACUGACGCUGAGGAGCGAAAGCCAGGGGAGCAAACGGG